ACUCUAUAGAACACAUAGUUGGCGAUUUUGUGAGAACACAAAGAAGGAAACUGCCAUCGUCGUCGUAGAACGAACGAGUGUAAAAAAAUAGUUUAGAACCUCCUCGCGCAAAUGUGUGCAGAUUUGUGGUGUCUUGGUGCCUUGGCACAGCAUCAACCAUCAGCAGCAGCCAGUGAAGGGGAGAAAAAUCAGCUAUUCCAGUUACAUCGCGAAUGAGCCAUAAGCAGUCUUUGGCAGCAGACCGAACGGAGCGGACAAGUGAAUUCUCACACGGUGUUGUCGGCACACGGGCUUUGUACCAGCAGAAACCAUCCACACAAUCGGGCGAAAACCUUCAAAACCGAAAAGAUUAGCCAAGUGGAAAAAAAAACAAAGUUGUAGUGUUUAGUGCUGUACUAGCCUAUAGUGUCAGGAGUUCAGUGUUCAAUCAUGAGUGAAAUGUCGUCCAGUCCCAGUGCCAGCGCCCGGAUUAGCCUGGCCACGGACGAGAGUCACUUCAGCCUGGCCAGCCUCAACUCGACCGUCAGCCAGGACGAGUUCUUCCGGAACGUGAGGGAACACUCGGAGCUGGUUCUGAAACGGAUGCAGGAAUAUCUACAAAACGAGAAGCUGUGCGACGUGAUCUUGAUCGCCGGGAUAGACGGAAAGCGAAUUCCUGCCCACCGGUUAGUGCUAUCCGCUUCUUCAGCAUACUUCAGUGCAAUGUUCACCGGUCAGCUACGCGAAAGCCAACAGGAAGAAAUCACCCUGCAGGAAGUCAGCGGAGAAGCGCUGCAACUGCUCAUCCAGUACUGCUACACCGGUUCGAUCGAGCUGCGCGAAGAUACCGUUGAGACGCUGCUUGCCACGGCCUGUUUGCUGCAGCUCAGCACGAUCGUCAACGCGUGCUGCACCUUCCUAGCCCGCCAGCUGCAUCCGUCCAACUGUCUCGGAUUUUCGCUGUUUGCCGAACAGCAAGGUUGUACGGCCCUGCUGAAGAUCGCAUCCGCGUACACCUGCCAGCACUUUAUGCAGGUCUGGAAGAAUCAGGAAUUCUUCCAACUGGACUCGUUCCAGCUAUCGAAUCUGCUCAUGAGCGACGACCUAAACGUACCGAACGAACAGGAAGUGUUUCACGCCCUCAUGGCCUGGAUCCAGUUCGACCCGGACAACAGGAAAAAGUUCAUCCCUGACCUGUUGGCCCUGGUGCGGUUACCGCUGCUGCAACCUUCGUUCAUCGUUGACCACGUGGAGGCGCUAUGCGGAGCAAACGAGUGCCAACAGCUGGUGAUGGAGGCGUUCAAGUGGCACCUGAUACCGGGUCGACGGUCCCAGAUUUCGACGCAGCGGACACGGCCGCGAAAGUCGACCAUCGGGAAGCUGCUGGCCGUCGGAGGGAUGGAUGGCCACAAGGGCGCGAUAAGCAUAGAGAGCUACGAACCCCGGCUGGACAAGUGGACCCUGCUGAAGAAUAUGCCGGCGCGGCGGCUCCAGUUUGGGGUGGCCGUUAUGGACGAUAAGCUGAUUAUUGUGGGCGGUCGCGACGGUCUGAAGACACUCAACACGGUGGAGUGUUUCGACCUGACCGCUAUGACGUGGGGUUCGAUUGUUCCGCCGAUGGGGACGCCAAGACAUGGUCUUGGGGUGGCAUUCUUGGAGGGACCGCUGUACGCAGUUGGUGGUCACGAUGGGUGGUCCUACCUGGCCACGGUUGAGCGAUGGGAUCCUGCGUCACGAACCUGGAAUUACGUGGCUCCGAUGGCGUCGAUGAGAUCUACAGCCGGCGUGGCAGUGCUAGGCAGCCGGUUGUAUGUUAUCGGUGGUCGCGACGGAAGCGUCUGCCAUCGUACGGUAGAGUGUUACGACCCGCACACCAACAGGUGGACCCUGCGGGCCCCAAUGAACAAACGACGUGGCGGCGUUGGAGUUGGUGUUCUCAACGGGUUCCUGUACGCACUGGGCGGUCACGACUGUCCGGCCAGCAAUCCGGCGGUGUAUCGAACCGAAACGGUAGAACGCUACGACCCAACGACGGACACGUGGACUUUGAUUGCAUCGCUCAGCGUGGGUCGCGACGCGAUCGGAGUGAGUGUGAUCGGCGAUUGGUUGAUCGCGGUCGGCGGUUACGACGGAAACCAAUAUCUCAAGACGGUCGAGCAGUACGACACCGAGAGCAACGAGUGGCAGCAGAUUGCACCGGUGAACUACAGUCGUGCUGGGGCGUGUGUGGUGGCGAUCCCCAACAACGUGGCCACCCCCGGAACGGUACCUAUCGCGGCCGCUGCGGCUUCAUCUUCCAUGGCCCUGGCACCGGUGAAUGCUUCUCCAUCAACCACAAACACUACAGUUUAGUACAGUUCCCCCAUGGUUGCUAGCACUGCUGCUGCUGCUGCUGCUUUCCUAGGAGUGAUUCUCCAGAUAAUCCGGCAACUCAUGUUACAGAGGAGGAGCCGGUUCCUCUCGUAUCGGUAACAACUACUACUAUAGACGCCAGUUUAGGAUCUUUGAUUACUACGUGUAAAACACACUCGCACCGAGCGCUGCCCACACCAGUGAAGAUAUCUAAAGACCCACACACCCAUUUUCCGCCCUGUGAUGAUUCAUGUGUUUACUUUGUAAGGCUUGCCCAGUGAUUAUGAAAAAAAUUCCUUCUUUUCCAAAGAUUCGCAGCCAUUUCCCCCCUCUAUCUGUGAUCGGCUCAACAGACUGUGGCUAAGUUGCAGGGAAAGCUGAAGUUUUUUUUCUCCCUCUUCCCUCACAUCUGAUUUAUCCCUUAGUUUAGGUUCGGGACUAGUCUUCGCCCGGAAACGGGAUGAGAUUAUGCGUGAUAGUUUUUUUUUUCUCGUAAAGUAUUCAACAACAUUAUGGCAGAAAGAAGCGACAUUCUUGUGAAGUACGAUUUAGAUUUAGAUUUAAGAGAGACGUGUGUAGCGUGGAGUAGCCAGGAAACGAGCGCGGAGAUCGCUGACUUAGUCGCUUGCAGAAUGACUAUGCGAAAGAGUACUACUUUUGAUACUAUUUAUACCCGAAUAUACUGAUGAUCAAUUAAUAAACGAAGCUAUUUUAGUAUGA